UCAUAGUGAUCCGGUGGUUCUGAAUGGAAGGGCCAUCGCUCAACGGAUAAAAGGUACUCCGGGGAUAACAGGCUGAUACCGCCCAAGAGUUCAUAUCGACGGCGGUGUUUGGCACCUCGAUGUCGGCUCAUCACAUCCUGGGGCUGAAGUAGGUCCCAAGGGUAUGGCUGUUCGCCAUUUAAAGUGGUACGCGAGCUGGGUUUAGAACGUCGUGAGACAGUUCGGUCCCUAUCUGCCGUGGGCGCUGGAGAACUGAGGGGGGCUGCUCCUAGUACGAGAGGACCGGAGUGGACGCAUCACUGGUGUUCGGGUUGUCAUGCCAAUGGCACUGCCCGGUAGCUAAAUGCGGAAGAGAUAAGUGCUGAAAGCAUCUAAGCACGAAACUUGCCCCGAGAUGAGUUCUCCCUGACUCCUUGAGAGUCCUGAAGGAACGUUGAAGACGACGACGUUGAUAGGCCGGGUGUGUAAGCGCAGCGAUGCGUUGAGCUAACCGGUACUAAUGAACCGUGAGG
rnacentral:rRNA from 1 species